GUUCCUGUAACGCAAUGGAUAGCGCGCGCGCGUUGGUCUUCUAAUCCAAAGGUCGUGGGUUCAAAUGCCACCUGAAAUA